CCAUAGGCACUUUGUGCCAGAUGCACUGGGAGAUCCACAAGUGUUGCACUCCCAAAAGUAACUUGAAGCUUCCAUGUUCAAAGAUCUGAUUGGGCUGAAGUGUAAUUUAUCUAUUUCAUUUUUAUUUUUAGCUCUCUACCACUUGGAAGGGAGAGUAACAUGUUUUCCUCAAAGAUGGGUGCAGAAUUGGAGCUGGGUCAUGCAGUAGCGUCAUAGCUGGAAAGGGAAUAACAAGUCACUUCCCUGAGAAGAAUUGAUUGCUUGCCAGAACUUGUCUCCUCCUGCAGAAGCUCACCAUGCAGAAAGUGAAAGAGCACACUUACCAUCUUUACCGAGCAGAGGCACUUUCCAUGCUGCUGCCUUUUGAAACAGGCGCAGCUCUGGCUGCUUCCUGGUAGGUGACAUUCCGUGGACAUAGCAUUUCAGGCAGAAGAUAAUAUGUUUUCAUGCACAUUUUAAUUUUUAAAAUGUAGAAGCUGCAAUGCACUUGAGGAUAUUAAAACUGAGUCUGGAUUAAGAAUCUGCAUAAAAGAUCAGAAUUCAAGGUACAUUAAAACAAUGUUAUAAACAUCUCAAAUACUUCUGAAGUGAAAACUUGACUGGCUAUUACAGGAAGUUUAGACUGACUAGCAUGCGAUGCUUUCUCUCUGUAAUAUCUGUAAUCCUAUAUGUAAUGGAGUUUGCAAGAAAAUCUUAUAUAAAAACCUCGAUGGAUGACUUUACGCAAUAAAAAAUA